rnacentral:lncRNA from 1 species
UAAAGAGCUCUUAUCAUUCAAUGAAAAGUGAACUCCCAACAGAAAAAUAAGCAAAUGUGUGCAUGUAUUCCUUCAACAAUUAUUUAUUAUUCACCUAAUUUGUGCCAGGUAUUAUGCUAGGGGCUGGGAAUAGAGUGUUGAAGAAUCUAGACAUCCAGACACAGUUUCUUCUUUCAUUCAUUCCAGUAUAGGAAACACACCCUUAUUAUUAUUAUCUUUUUUUACACAAAGUAAAUAAACAAAUACAUAGAGUUACAAUUGAGAUAAGAAAUUCCAAGAAAAAAAGAAGAGAGCAAAUGGGAGGAGAGAGGUGAGGACUAUUUCCAAACAAUGCUCUGGGCAGGCCUUUCUUAAGAUGCAUUUUUAAGCAGUUAUGUAAGUGGUUGUUGUAGGGGGAAAGCCAAGGAGAGCAGAGAUAAUAGCAUUUACUAAUCCCCUGAGGUGCAUAAAAGGUCUUGGUAAACUGGAGGAACCAGUGUGUCUUCACCAUAGUGGGCAAUAGAGAGGCGCGUCAAUAGAGUCGGAGUGACAGGUAGGGGUCAGACUGUGUAGGACUCUGUGAGUGAUGGUAAAGCGUUUAGAUUUUAUCCUACAAUUUACUCAGUUCAAUUUAGGAAUAAGGUCAUGGUUGCCACUAAGUCAAGAAUGUAUUGAAGUGGGUCAUGAGUCAAGAGUGGGAGCAGGAAGAACAGGUAGGCUAUCUGUCACAGUAAUCAGGUGAGAAAAAACAGUGACCUGGAUUAAGUGAUGCCAUUGAAAAUGAAAAGAAGACAGAUUAAAGACAUAGUUGAGGGAUGAAAUGAACAGGUUAUGCUGGCCUAUUUGAUGCAGUGGAGAGGUCAUGAAAAGAAUCAGGGAUGACACAUGGGUUUCUGGCUUGAACAACUGGUUGGAUGGAGGUGCUAUUUCCUGUAAUAGGGAAGAUGAGGGCAACAGAUUUGGGGUGAGAAUGAGGAAUUAGAUUCAGGACAUGUUAAGUUUGAAAUAUCUGAGUCAUUCAAGGGAAGAGGUUAAGCAAGCAAUGAGACAUGUACAUCUAGAACUCAGAUGGAAAGUUGAGGUGGGAAACACAAAUUUGUAAUUUAUUAGCAAAAAGCCAGCACUUAAACCCAUGGAAACUGAUAAGAUCCCCCCAGGAAGGAACACAGAAAAGAGAGAUCCAAUGGAGGGGAAAACCCUCAACUUUCUCAAGUUGGGCAGGAGAUAGAGCGUAACACUAGGAAUGAACAGUGAAGUGGGAAGAAAACCAGGACAGGAUAGUGUCUUGGAUGUGAGGAGAGAACAAUUUAAAGGAGCACAGAGUGGUCAAUGUGACGACAGGAAGUAUCCUUUUGGAUAGGCCAACAGGCAAGUGCUUGGUGACUUGAAAAGCAGCAUUCAGGAGGGGCGGCGAGGAAGUCUCACUAUGAAUUGAAAGUGAGUAGGAGAUUAGAAAGUGAAGACAAUCGCUAAGGAUAACUCCAUAAAGAGGUCUGGUUAUGAAAGAGAGCCAAGAAAUGGCUAAAGGGUGGGAAAGAUAUGCACAAGGGAAGGUUUGGUGAAGAUGGAGGAUGCUAGAGCAUGUCUGCAGACUGAUGAGAAUGAUUUUUUCAAGACGGAGAUUGAUAAUGCAGAAUAAAGAGGAAAACCUAGGGAGACAAGGCAAGACUCCUUGGGAUCUAGAGCACAAGAGGAGGGGCUGGCCUUUGAAACUUUCUCCAGUCACAGAAAGAUGAUUACCAAGAGAGCUGGGUUAGGGGUUAGAUGGGUCUUGUGCCAGAAAGAUGAAGUUUAUACAUAAUAUCUUCUAUUUUCCAAAGGAAAACGUAAACAGGAAGGAAAGGAUCUGAAAAGCUUGAGGAGAUGAAAAGCUAUAAACAGUCAUUUUAGAAGUGGGACACUGAGACUACAGUAGGAACAAUAGCACCUGUUUGAGAUGAUAAAUUCAAAGUAAAACUAGUUGGCUGUGUUGCGUGAUUUUCUUAAAGAAAAUGUCCACCUGUCCCGGUGAGGCCAGUGGAAGGCAGAUGGUAAGGUCACCCAGAGUUGGGAUUUUACAGGAAAGUAAAUUGGAAGGAUUUGAAGUUUAAGACUGCUGAGAGCACUGUAUUUCAAGGAGGAUGAUUAUAGUGAUGGAUCAUGGGAUCCAGGCUAGACAAGGAAGGAAGUGAAUCCAAAACAAGGACUGACCAAUAUUGGAUGGGGUGUGGGGGGGGGUGAGAUUAGUGAAUUAGCUGUCAAUGAACAAGCAAGGGAUCCAGAAGCAUAGGAAGAUGGUGAUCAGAGAGGAAUGUCUGAUAAUGUGUUAGUUCAGGUCCUCCAAACAGACACCAAGGGAGGGUUCAGCCGGCAAGAGUUUUAUUGAGAGAACAUUUGUGAAGGAUAAAGGGAAGGAAUCAGGAGCAAGGCUGAUUCCGAAGGUUGGAUUUCCCAAAGGUUAGGUCUUUGGGGAUGAAGUAAGUUUCCGGGAGGGUACUGGAUGGUGGAGUUCAAGUUUAACCACAGUUACGCAUCACCCAACUCCAGAUAGUGUGGAUCAUCCAGUAGUCAUGGGGGAUUUGUGCACUCACUGAAACAAUCUUCUGGUAGGUGGCGGCGGGGCGGGGAGUGGGGCGGAGGCGGCUCCUCAGCUUGUUGAUGACGGGAUUUGAGGUGGAGAAGACUCAAGUGGGAGAUAGUCUUUGAGAACGAAUAAUGAAAGAAACUGACAAGGAACUUGACAAACCACAAGGAGGGAAACAGGAUGGCAAGAUCCUCCUUCAAGAUCCAGUGACAAG